UACAGAUCGCCACUCGGCAGUUUAUCUCUGUACCUCUCGGACCUCCCUCUUCUCUUCGAUCCUGCAAAUCUCCCUCUAUCGCCUUCUGAAGCACUUCAUGCUAUGGCACCUGUUCGGGGCAUGCUGUAUCUUCAACGAACAGUAUUGACAAGGAGUUAUAAUGAUAGAUGGGUUAUAGGGUUGAGAGCAUUUAGCAAUCAGGGUGCAGCUGCUAGUAGCAGCCCUCAGCCUCCCCCACCUCCUCCACCUCCAGAGAAAACUCAUUUUGGUGGCUUGAAGGAUGAGGACCGAAUCUUUACCAACUUAUACGGUUUACAUGACCCCUUUCUCAAAGGUGCCAUGAAACGUGGUGAUUGGUACAGAACUAAAGAUUUAGUACUCAAGGGUUCCGAUUGGAUUGUCAACGAAGUCAAGAAGUCUGGCCUCCGCGGUCGUGGAGGUGCUGGGUUUCCAUCUGGACUCAAAUGGUCAUUCAUGCCAAAAGUAUCUGAUGGUCGCCCUUCCUAUCUUGUUGUUAAUGCUGAUGAAAGUGAACCCGGAACCUGUAAGGACAGGGAAAUCAUGCGGCACGAUCCACACAAACUCUUGGAAGGUUGUCUGAUUGCUGGAGUUGGGAUGAGGGCUACUGCAGCUUAUAUAUACAUCAGAGGUGAGUAUGUGAAUGAGCGAAGGAACCUUGAAAAGGCCAGAAAAGAGGCUUAUGAAGCUGGAUUAUUGGGCAAGAAUGCCUGUGGAACUGGUUAUGAUUUUGAUGUUCACAUCCACUUUGGUGCUGGAGCUUACAUUUGUGGUGAAGAAACAGCUCUAUUGGAAAGCCUUGAAGGGAAACAAGGGAAACCAAGAUUGAAGCCUCCUUUCCCUGCUAAUGCAGGUUUAUAUGGAUGCCCUACCACAGUUACAAAUGUGGAGACCGUGGCUGUUUCUCCUACUAUUUUAAGGCGUGGACCAGAAUGGUUCGCCAGUUUUGGGAGGAAGAACAACUCUGGUACCAAAUUGUUUUGUGUAUCGGGACACGUGAAUAAGCCUUGCACUGUUGAAGAAGAAAUGAGCAUUCCACUGAAAGAGUUAAUUGAAAGGCACUGUGGAGGGGUUAGAGGUGGAUGGGAUAACUUGCUUGCAGUAAUUCCCGGAGGUUCCUCAGUUCCAUUGCUUCCCAAGCAUAUAUGUGAUGAUGUCCUUAUGGAUUAUGAUGCACUAAAGGCUGUCCAGUCUGGAUUGGGCACUGCUGCUGCAAUUGUUAUGGAUAAAUCGACUGAUGUUGUGGAUGCUAUUGCAAGGCUCUCUUAUUUUUACAAGCAUGAAAGCUGUGGACAGUGCACUCCCUGCAGAGAAGGUACAGGAUGGCUUUGGAUGAUAAUGGAAAGAAUGAAAGUUGGAAAUGCGAAGCUGGAAGAAAUUGACAUGCUACAAGAGGUUACCAAGCAGAUUGAAGGGCACACCAUUUGCGCCCUUGGUGAUGCUGCUGCUUGGCCUGUGCAGGGUCUUAUAAGGCAUUUUAGGCCUGAGCUUGAAAGAAGGAUCAGAGAACAUGCAGAAAAGGAGUUGAUCCAGGCCGCUGCAUAGGAUUCUCUUUCAGGAUAGCAGGCAAGUUCAUGAUGCAGCUUUUCAAACUUGGAAAUUACUGCUGCAGUCGUUACUAAUAAAUAUGGAAUUCCAAAUUUGAUGGGAACUGCAAAUAAUGAAACUGCCCCAGAUAAACGAAUGCUUGGUGUGACUCAAGCAUCUCGAGGUCAUGUCCGUUUGAUAUUUCAAAAAUGACUUAUAAGUGUCUCGAAGAAACUCGUUUCUAGUUGUUGAAGCGUCUUCGAGGCUAGAAUUUUUAUAAAUCAUCUUUGGUGUAUUGUCAAUGCCUCUCUUAACACCAUUUGAUGGUUGAUAUCAAUGUUUUCUUUUUAUGUUGUACUCAUCUGAACAAAAUUUUCGUCUCCCUGUGCAACAUCAAUAAAGGGGAAAGUUAAGCUUUAAAUAUAA